CUGCCGUCUAUGGGGUCCCACAGAGUCGAACACGACUGAAGUGACUUAGCAGCAGCAGCAGCAGCAAACAAAGGGAAGAGGGGAGAGAUAAAGGUCAAACACAAGAUCAUUUUGGAAGGGCCCGAAGAAUACAACAUGAUAAAGAGAUUCUGAAAAUUCCAGUCGUUUUUUGACAUCCCAGUUGCCACUCCAGGAUGCGCUGUCCUCCUUACGGAUCCUGAAUGAAGCAGGAGGUGGAGGACUGGACAUGGAGAACAGCAAGUCCGGAGCAGGGUUGCUGGGAUGAGAUUGAAGCAUGACACUGCUCAUACCUGUUGACCAAGUCAUAGAGUGAGCACAGCAUCUGCUCAGUCCUCCUGCAUGAGACUCAGUUGGCUUACCAGAAGAGGCGCACACAAAGAGCUUCAUUGAAUUACUGAAGAUAAGUUUUUCACCAAAAGGAAUUUGAGGCAGCUUGCAAAAUUGAUUAAUAGGAUUGGAAAACAGACUUCAGAGCCAAACUUGGAUUUUAUCUGGAAGAAAGUUUCACCACAG
ensembl:lncRNA